AAUCAACGCUGGCGGCGUGCCUCAGACAUGCAAGUCGAACGCGAAAGUUCCCUUCGGGGAGCAAGUAGAGUGGCGCACGGGUGAGUAACACGUAGGUAGUCUACCUUCGGAUGGGGAAUAACAACCGGAAACGGUUGCUAAUACCGCAUAAUGCAGCGGCACCUAAUGGUGACAGUUGUUAAAGCGGGGGAUCGAAAGACCUCGCGUCUGAAGAGGAGCCUGCGGCGGAUUAGCAGUUGGUAAGGUAACGGCUUACCAAGGCGAUGAUCCGUAGCCGGCCUGAGAGGGCGGUCGGCCACACUGACACUGACAUACGGGUCAGACUCCUA
rnacentral:rRNA from 1 species